CUGCCUUGGCCAAGCUCUGCCAGCUGAGUGACCUUGGACAAGAGACAUGAGCUUUCUUAGCCUUGGCUUCCUUAUCUGUAAAGUAGGGGUGAUGCUAGUACCAUCUUCACAGGCCAUCUGGCCUGAGAGGGAGAACCUGGCACACCACGCAUAUCCAAUUAAGCAGAAGAAGGUGCCUGACUGCAUGAGUGUCAUCCCAUUGAAUCUUCUGGGAGGUCCUACAAGGUGGGAGCCUCGGGAAGAAGAGUGGUGGGGCCUCCUGGGAGCUGGGCAUGGGGCUCCC
rnacentral:lncRNA from 10 species